AUUGAACGCUGGCGGCAGGCCUAACACAUGCAAGUCGAGCGGAGCGGCGCACGGCUGAGUAAUGCAUAGGAAUCUGCCUGGUAGUGGGGGAUAACGCCCGGAAACGGGCGCUAAUACCGCAUACUCUCAGAUGAGCCUAGGUCGGAUUAGCUGGUUGGUGGGGUAAAGGCCUACCAAGGCGACGUGCCGUAACUGGUCUGAGUGGGUUAUCAUUCACCCGGGAACGGAGACACGGUCCAGACUCCUAGGGGAGGCAGCGGUGGGGAGUAUUGGACGAUGGGGGAAGGCCUGAACCGGCCAGGCCACGUGUGUGAAGAAGGUCUUCGGAUUGUAAAGCACUUUAAGUUGGGAGGCGUUACCAACAGAAUAAGCGCCGGCUAACUUCGGGCCAGCUGCCGCGGUAAUUC
rnacentral:rRNA from 1 species